rnacentral:rRNA from 1 species
UACGUAGGGGGCGAGCGUUGUCCGGAAUUAUUGGGCGUAAAGAGCUCGUAGGCGGUUCCGUAAGUCAGAUGUGAAAACUCAGGGCUCAACCCGGAGACGCCAUCUGAUACUGCGGUGACUGGAGUCUGGUAGGGGAACACGGAAUUCCUGGUGUAGCGGUGAAAUGCGCAGAUAUCAGGAGGAACACCGAUGGCGAAGGCAGUGUUCUGGGCCAGUACUGACGCUGAGGAGCGAAAGCGUGGGGAGCAAACAGG